rnacentral:rRNA from 1 species
GACGAACGCUGGCGGCGUGCUUAACACAUGCAAGUCGAACGGAAAGGCCCUGCUUGCAGGGUACUCGAGUGGCGAACGGGUGAGUAACACGUGGGUGAUCUGCCCUGCACUUCGGGAUAAGCCUGGGAAACUGGGUCUAAUACCGGAUAGGAGCCAUUUUUAGUGUGAUGGUUGGAAAGUUUUUUCGGUGUAGGAUGAGCUCGCGGCCUAUCAGCUUGUUGGUGGGGUAAUGGCCUACCAAGGCGGCGACGGGUAGCCGGCCUGAGAGGGUGGACGGCCACAUUGGGACUGAGAUACGGCCCAGACUCCUACGGGAGGCAGCAGUGGGGAAUAUUGAACAAUGGGCGCAAGCCUGAUGCAGCGACGCCGCGUGGGGGAUGACGGCCUUCGGGUUGUAAACGCCUUUCGCUAGGGACGAAGCUUUUUGUGACGGUACCUAGAGAAGAAGCACCGGCUAACUACGUG